rnacentral:rRNA from 1 species
GAAUCUACGNCUCGUCGAUAUGCUCAGAUGGUGNAUUGAUCAUGGCUCAGAUUGACCGCUCGGUCGUGCACAGCCUAACACAUGCAAGUCGAACGGUAGCACAGAGAGCUUGCUCUCGGGUGACGAGUGGCGGACGGGUGAGUAAUGUCUGGGAAACUGCCUGAUGGAGGGGGAUAACUACUGGAAACGGUAGCUAAUACCGCAUAACGUCGCAAGACCAAAGAGGGGGACCUUCGGGCCUCUUGCCAUCAGAUGUGCCCAGAUGGGGUUAGCUAGUAGGUGGGGUAACGGCUCACCUAGGCGACGAUCCCUAGCUGGUCUGAGAGGAUGACCAGCCACACUGGAACUGAGACACGGUCCAGACUCCUACGGGAGGCAGCAGUGGGGAAUAUUGCACAAUGGGCGCAAGCCUGAUGCAGCCAUGCCGCGUGUAUGAAGAAGUGCCUUCGGGUUGUAAAGUACUUUCAGCGGGGAGGAAGGUGUUAGUGGUUAAUAACCGCAGCAAUUGACGUUACCCGCAGAAGAAGCACCGGCUAACUCCGUGCCAGCAGCCGCGGUAAUACGGAGGGUGCAAGCGUUAAUCG